UUUCUUUUUAAAUUUUUUUUUUUAAAACUGUUUCUUGCUGUCUGAUAAAUUUCAGCCAUGUAAUCACUUUCCGAUCAGCUGGUACCAUCAAAGUUGUAUUUAUCCCACUGACCUUUUUAUUUGAAAGUCCUCUUCUGUAGACGGUCGUUUUCAAAGAACAUGAUCUGGAUUCGUUGGUUUUUGACCGCAUCUCUAUGAACUCUUACUUAUUCCUUCCUUUAACCUGAAGAGUUGAACAAACUUUCUUCAGUUUAGGCUGAAUGGACAGUUGGACAUGACUCCGCAACAGAGCAUUUGAAGCUCACCAUCACCCUUUUGCACGGAAAACAUGGUCCACAUGCAUGGGAGCAGUCUGGGAGGCUGGAUCCUGUAGGUGAAUUUCUUUAAAUGGUCUCCUGUUAGUGUGUUGCUAUGGUUCGUCUUGUUCGAUGUGCUCUCAAGUAAGCAUCUAUUAUUCAUAUUUUUCCUGUUCUUGUCCCAGUUAGGCUAUCUUUUUCGGUAAAUUUUCUAGCAAAAUGUUUUGAACUAGGUGAAGAAAUGUGGGCUGAGAAAACACACAAUACCUCCUCUUGCCUUAAACUGCCAUCUGUUCUGUGAGCAUCUUCUGCACUGAAGCUCACUGAAACAUCACACUUAAAAGCUUAAAUGCCAUAUCUAAAUCAGAGAAAGAUAUCGAUGUAUAUGUUAUAGGGAUACAAAUGCAUUUUCUCAACAACUAGAAUGAUACAAUAAAUAGCUAAUGUAAACCACAAUCACGUAGAUGAUGAUUUAUCUUACUGUUAUCCCAGUGAGUUGUUACAUCAAGACUUCUACCAAUCAUUAGUAUGAUGAAGAAAAUUCCAAGAAGUAGAGACAUGUGAGCUACAAUAGAAAAUUUCUUCAUUGUUGCUCGAUAAUGCAAAAGCCAAAACGAUAUACGAAUGAAGUGGUAAAUGCGAAAGAAAGAGAAAAUAGACUGAAAGUUUGUUGUAAAUGUUGGUGGCUGACUGAUGAUUUAGUAUGUUAUGAUCAUUUUUAUAGUGUAGAUGGAAGGAAGGUUAGUUUUUAAUGUAGAAGAGGUACAUCUGUUGCAUUUCACAUGAUCCAUGGCCAUGUUUUGAAGGUUCACAUGUUUUGGCAAGUAAACUCAACAUCUUCAGAAACUUUAAAUGAACUGGGGCACUUGAUCUUCUUAUAUGUACGAAGGUACAUUUUUUUAGUCUUAUAGAUCAAAAUUUGAAUUGCUGGAUCUUGUAAAGCUAUGAAGACGAGACAUUUUGAAAUUUAAGAGCACCAUCUCGUCCUGAGAUGACAUGGGGGUUCAUCUUUUCUCUUCA